GAAUCUUAAAACCAUUCAUCGGGAGAACUAGGAAAGGACACCUCUGGGCCUGCCUGUGAGCUGCUGCUAGAGAAGAUUAGCCGAGAACUGAGUGAAUGAGAGCCACCUUGAGAGGAGUGCCAUCUAACAGGCUGGAGGUCCGGGUGACGUGAGAAAGUAGAAAGGGGAAGCAAGCCCUGGAUUAUGAGUUUCUUCCCCAGUGGGUGUUGGCAGCGUGGAACCAAGGUCUACAGUGGCUGCUGAGGUCAGACUUGAAGAAAUGACUCACAUGCAAGGCUGAUCUACAUAAGUAGCCUGUGCUAAGACUGCCAUCUGGUAGAACAAUCUACAUCACACGACUCCACGUUUCCUGUUACCCAAGGUAAGUACAUUUCAAGCAUGAGGGAAAACUUUAUCAAGUUUCUCUAAGUCCCUUUACUUCGACACUAAAGUGGCUUACACAGGGAGGAGGGGAAGGGAAAGUACGAGGUGCAGGCUACUCUCUCAUCUCCCCAGAUUCCCUCUUCACAGAAGAGAAAGACUUUCUUAGCCAUUAUCACUCCUGUCAUUGAGUCUGUCAAAUUUGCCUACUUGCCCUUUAACAAUGCUCUUCAGGCAACAGAACAGGGAUUUGAGAUACCAUUGAAAAUGGAUGUAUUCAUUUGAGUUUCUCCCACCCCGCCUCCUACUACUUUCCCUCUCUUUCUCUAUGUAUUUUUCUUCCGUGUGUGUGUGUGUGUGUGUGUGUGUGUGUGUGUGUGUGUGUGUGUCUUCCAUGCAGAAUUGAGUGUGUGUCACCAAGUCUAUGCAAGCGAAGCCAUAUACCCUAAGCAUCUCUCUGUUUUGUACUAAGGACCUGGCAUCUGAGAUAAUUCUAACAUGAAACUGGCAUUUUCAGUUUGCUCCUGUCGUAAGUAGAGCCUGCCAUGAAUCCUAUCUCAGGCAGGUAAGAAGCCCGCUACCCCCGACACCCACCACCCACCUGCACGAGGCACCCUGGUACAUCACCUAACCCUCCAUUUCUCUCUGUGGAGAUUCCAGGUCCACCCAUCCACGAGUCCUCCAAAGGGGUUUUCAGAACAUAGGACAAGCCAACAUUUCUACUUAGUUCAGAGUCUUUUUUGAUGUUCAUCUCCAUGCUCUGCAGGUGCAGCUUCGAUGGACCAUGGCCAUAUUGCCCCACUACUAUCAAUCACACUGAGAUGUAGUCCACAGCAUUCAACAAGCCACCACUCAUGGGAUAGAGGAUAGGCAAAAGGAACAACUAAGACAGUAGAGGAGCCCAGCACUCCGAACCCCUAAUCAUGCCUUCGGUGGAUUCCUUUGGUAAAGUUUUCCUUUGUGGGUUUCUUUCAGCACUUGACCCAUAGCCCAUGGAAUGUGUCAGCUCUAAUUGCCUGUGUGGAUUGGCACAAGUCGUGCCUCAAAAUUGGAAUGUUGUCACAUAUAACAUAGCCUUUCAGAGGGAUAAAUGUGGAAAAUGUUUUACCCAUGAAUUCCUUAGAAGCAAUUGUGCUCUAUCACGUGAAAGGCUGAAGACCUGGACAGAACCUAAUGACUAUAUCCCCAAGAUCCCCAAGGUUCAGUGGCUUUCAGGAUGUUGCUCUCCCUGACUCCAUGGACAUCACAGAAUGACAGUUGUCCACUGGAGUAUUCUUCACCCAGGCAGC
rnacentral:lncRNA from 1 species